CCUACGGGAGGCAGCAGUGGGGGAUAUUGCACAAUGGGGGAAACCCUGAUGCAGCGACGCCGCGUGUGGGAAGACGGUCCUCUGGAUUGUAAACCACUGUCCCCAGGGACGAAGAUGACGGUACCUGGGGAGGAAGCUCCGGCUAACUACGUGCCAGCAGCCGCGGUAAUACGUAGGGAGCGAGCGUUGUCCGGAAUUCCUGGGUGAAAAGGGAGCGUAGGCGGGACUGCAAGUUGGGUGUCAAAUCUACCGGCUCAACCGGUAGCCGCACUCAAAACUGCAGUUCUUGAGUGAAGUAGAGGCAGGCGGAAUGCCUAGUGUAGCGGUGAAAUGCGUAGAGAUUAGGAGGAACACCAGUGGCGAAGGCGGCCUGCUGGGCUUUUACUGACGCUGAGGCUCGAAAGUGUGGGGAGCAAACAGGAUUAGAUACCCGGGUAGUC
rnacentral:rRNA from 1 species